rnacentral:rRNA from 1 species
UGGGGAAUAUUGGACAAUGGGCGGAAGCCUGAUCCAGCCAUGCCGCGUGUGUGAUGACGGCCUUAGGGUUGUAAAGCACUUUCGCCGAUGAAGAUAAUGACUGUAGUCGGAGAAGAAGCCCCGGCUAACUUCGUGCCAGCAGCCGCGGUAAUACGAAGGGGGCUAGCGUUGUUCGGAAUUACUGGGCGUAAAGCGUACGUAGGCGGAUCGUUAAGUUAGGGGUGAAAUCCCGAGGCUCAACCUCGGAACUGCCUCUGAUACUGGCGAUCUUGAGUCCGGGAGAGGUGAGUGGAACUCCUAGUGUAGAGGUGAAAUUCGUAGAUAUUAGGAAGAACACCAGUGGCGAAGGCGGCUCACUGGCCCGGAACUGACGCUGAGGUACGAAAGCGUGGGGAGCAAACAGG